GAUGAACGCUGGCGGCGUGCCUAAUACAUGCAAGUCGAGCGAAUGGAUUAAGAGCUUGCUCUUAUGAAGUUAGCGGCGGACGGGUGAGUAACACGUGGGUAACCUGCCCAUAAGACUGGGAUAACUCCGGGAAACCGGGGCUAAUACCGGAUAACAUUUUGAACCGCAUGGUUCGAAAUUGAAAGGCGGCUUCGGCUGUCACUUAUGGAUGGACCCGCGUCGCAUUAGCUAGUUGGUGAGGUAACGGCUCACCAAGGCAACGAUGCGUAGCCGACCUGAGUGGGUGAACGGCCACACUGGGACUGAGACACGGCCCAGACUCCUACGGGAGGCAGCAGUAGGGAAUCUUCCGCAAUGGACGAAAGUCUGACGGAGCAACGCCGCGUGAGUGAGGAAGGCUUUCGGGUCGUAAAACUCUGUUGUUAGGGAAGAACAAGUGCUAGUUGAAUAAGCUGGCACCUUGACGGUACCUAACCAGAAAGCCACGGCUAACUACGUGCCAGCCGCCGCAGUAA
rnacentral:rRNA from 1 species